rnacentral:tRNA from 1 species
GGAGGGGUGGCUGAGCGGUUGAAAGCAGUCGCCUGCUAAGCGAUUGUCCUGGCUAAAACUGGGACCCUGGGUUCAAAUCCCAGCCCCUCCGCCA